CCUACGGGGGGCUGCAGUGGGGAAUAUUGCACAAUGGGCGCAAGCCUGAUGCAGCCAUGCCGCGUGUGUGAAGAAGGCCUUCGGGUUGUAAAGCACUUUCAGCGGGGAGGAAGGCGGUGAGGUUAAUAACCUCAUCGAUUGACGUUACCCGCAGAAGAAGCACCGGCUAACUCCGUGCCAGCAGCCGCGGUAAUACGGAGGGUGCAAGCGUUAAUCGGAAUUACUGGGCGUAAAGCGCACGCAGGCGGUCUGUCAAGUCGGAUGUGAAAUCCCCGGGCUCAACCUGGGAACUGCAUUCGAAACUGGCAGGCUAGAGUCAUGUAGAGGGGGGUAGAAUUCCAGGUGUAGCGGUGAAAUGCGUAGAGAUCUGGAGGAAUACCGGUGGCGAAGGCGGCCCCCUGGACAAAGACUGACGCUCAGGUGCGAAAGCGUGGGGAGCAAACAGGAUUAGAUACCCGGGUAGUC
rnacentral:rRNA from 1 species